rnacentral:rRNA from 1 species
CACGUAGGGCGCGAGCGUUGUCCGGAAUUAUUGGGCGUAAAGAGCUCGUAGGCGGCCUGUUGCGUCCGCUGUGAAAGCCCGGGGCUUAACCCCGGGUCUGCAGUGGAUACGGGCAGGCUAGAGGUAGGUAGGGGAGAAUGGAAUUCCCGGUGUAGCGGUGAAAUGCGCAGAUAUCAGGAGGAACACCGGUGGCGAAGGCGGGUCUCUGGGCCGUAACUGACGCUGAGGAGCGAAAGCAUGGGGAGCGAACAGG